GAACGUAGCAUUAGGCUACAACUUCUGUCACUGCAGAGCGUGCCACUGUUCAAUGAUUCCGCAUUUUCGGUCGGUGAGGAAAUAUUAGGGUGAAAGGUUAGGCAACGUUAUAACUCCAAUGCCAGUAACAAAGCCCACAGUUCCCUUCCGGACACUACGACAGAUCGGUUACUAUACCUAAUCCUGAGAUCCACCUACAAGCCAACUUUCUCCAGCAGACGUGGGCGAGCCUGAACUGAAAUAGCAGACGCGCACGCACGGACCAAACGCCCGUCUCUACAGAUCUACUGUUUUAGACCAGAGGAGCAGAGCACCAUGGUUGUGUCCAAGGCCUGGACGUUACGCCAGCACUUCCAGGGUUUCCCCAAGGCUAGUGACUUCCAUCUGAGGGAGGAGACGCUGCCACAGCCCAAGAAUGGACAGGUGCUGUUGGAGGCUGUGUUCCUCAGUGUGGAUCCUUACAUGAGACCCUACAGCCAGACGAUGAUGAAGGAGGGAGACGUGAUGAUUGGGUCCCAAGUUGCCAAGGUGAUCCAGAGCUAUAACCCCAGCUUCCCGGUUGGCUGCCAUGUGGUCAGUGAUUGUGGAUGGAGGAGUCACUGGGUGUGUGAUGGGGCAGAGCUGACCCCUGUGCUGCCCGACUGGCCCCAGGACAUCCCCCUCUCCCUGGCCCUGGGGGCCAUCGGCAUGCCUGGUUUGACAGCUCUGUAUGGACUAGAGGAGGUGUGUGAGAUAAAGAAGGGGGAGACUCUUCUGGUGAACGCUGCAGCAGGGGCCGUGGGCUCAGUGGUGGGACAGAUCGCCAAGAUCAAGGGCUGCAGAGUGGUGGGCUGUGCUGGGACAGAUACCAAGGUGUCCUAUCUAAAGGAGCUGGGUUUUGACCAGGUCUUCAACUACAAGACUGCCACCUCUCUGGAGGAAUCACUCAGGGAGGCCGCGCCACACGGAUACGACUGCUACUUUGAGAAUGUUGGUGGGAAGUUCUCCAGUGUAGUGAUGCCUCAGAUGAGAGAGUUUGGCAGAAUAGCUGUGUGUGGAAGCAUCUCCAUGUACAACGACACCACACCACAGACAGGGCCGUAUGUACACACCCAUAUGAUCUUCAAACAGCUGAGGAUGGAGGGCUUCCUGUGUGCUCGCUGGAAACUCAAACACCAGCAGUCACUGAGGAGGCUGAUGGCCUGGAUGACUGAGGGCAAGCUGAGAUGCAGUGAACACAUCACCAGUGGUUUCAACAACAUGCCUGCUGCCUUCAUGGGCAUGCUACAGGGAGACAACACCGGCAAGGCUGUGGUCAAGGUGUGAUGACGUCACAAUCAACAUUACACUCCUCCAGAACAUCUGGCUAAAGCAUUCCAGAACACUCAACUUCAUACACUCCAGGUUCUAGAACCAGAAUCUGUUUCUACUUAACAUUCCAGAACACUCAACUUCAUACACUCCAGGUUCUAGAACCAGAAUCUGUUUCUACUUAACAUUCCAGAACACUCAACUUCAUACACUCCAGGUUCUAGAACCAGAAUCUGUUUCUACUUAACAUUCCAGAAUCCUUCCUGUAUGUCACACUAGUGUUCUGGUCCAUGUUUAUUCAUAGACACGUUCAACACACAGCUAGACAGGUUUAGGUCCAGUGUAAUUCAACAGACAGCUAGACAGGUUUAGGUCCAGGGUAAUUCAACAGACAGCUAGACAGGUUUAGGUCCAGUGUAAUUCAACAGACAGCUAGACAGGUUUUGGUCCAGUGUAAUUCAACAGACAGCUAGACAGGUUUUGGUCCAGGGUAAUUCAACAGACAGCUUGACAGGUUUUGGUCCAGGGUAAUUCAACAGACAGCUAGACAGGUUUAGGUCCAGUGUAAUUCAACAGACAGCUAGACAGGUUUUGGUCCAGGGUAAUUCAACAGACAGCUAGACAGGUUUUGGUCCAGGGUAAUUCAACAUACAGCUAGACAGGUUUUGGUCCAGGGUAAUUCAACAGACAGCUAGACAGGUUUAGGUCCAGGGUAAUUCAACAGACAGUUAGACAGGUUUUGGUCCAGGGUAAUUCAACAGACAGCUAGACAGGUUUUGGUCCAGGGUAAUUCAACAGACAGCUAGACAGGUUUAGGUCUAGUGUAAUUCAACAGACAGCUAGACAGGUUUAGGUCCAGGGUAAUUCAACAGACAGCUAGACAGGUUUAGGUCCAGGGUAAUUCAACAGACAGUUAGACAGGUUUAGGUCCAGGGUAAUUCAACAUACAGCUAGACAGGUUUUGGUCCAGUGUAAUUCAACAUACAGCUAGACAGGUUUUGGUCCAGUGUAAUGCUAUUAACUAAAUAAACAUGUCUUCACAAUAUAAUGUUUAUAAUA